rnacentral:rRNA from 1 species
AUGGAGGAGAAGGGGAGGGGUGCUGCGUCGUGGAUCCAAGUACACUUUUUUAUCGGAGGGAGUAUAACAUAUUACCUUUGUGCUCUUCGAAUUUUAGUAUACACUUGCGAAACAAACAUGUCAUUAAUAUCAGUGCCUAAGAAUCAUUUGUUUUGGAUUCUAAUUUGUUCAGCAGAGGGCGAUCAAUAUAGAAGAGAUAUAUACACAAAUUUCCCUAGGUGCAGCAUCUUCUACUGUCCAAGCCUCCAAGGUAAUUCUCAAGAAUUUGUGUGCUUGCUUGUCCAAAAUGCAUAUGGUCCAACUUGGUUCGUUUUGAUGGGUUCUGAAUUUACUCCAAUUUGGUCACUUUUCAAAUUCAGUUAG